GCCGGAAUAGCUUAGUUGGGAGAGCGUUAGACUGAAGUUGUUUACGCAACAGUCAUCUAAACGCCCCCGGUUCAAUCCAGGGUUCCGGCA
rnacentral:tRNA from 1 species